UAAACAUUCUCUCAUUCUCUAUAAACAGUGUGAGUUAAGAUGAAUUCAAUGUUCCGUGCUGACUAAGACACAAUUAUCACUCCUCCCAGUCCUCCCUAACAUACCUAAACAUUCUCGCAUUCUCUAUAAACAGUGUGAGUUAUGAUGAAUUCAAUGUUCCGUGCUGACUAAGACACAAUUAUCACUCCUCACAGUCCUCCCUAACAUACCUAAACAUCCUUGCAUUCUCCAUAAACAGUGUGAGUUAAGAUGAAUUCAAUGUUCCGUGCUGACUAAGACACAAUUAUCACUCCUCACAGUCCUCCCUAAUAUACCUAAACAUCCUCUCAUUUCCUAUAAACAGUGUGAGUUAUGGUGAAUUCAAUGUUCCGUGCUGACUAAGACACACAUAUCACUCCUCCCAGUCCUCCCUAACAUACCUAAACAUCCUCUCAUUCUCUACAGUGUGAGUUGUGGUUGAAUUCACAGCCUCAUGCUAAGACAAUU